rnacentral:rRNA from 1 species
GACGAACGCUGGCGGCGCGCCUAACACAUGCAAGUCGAACGAGAGAUGAGGAGCUUGCUCUUCAAAUCGAGUGGCGAACGGGUGAGUAACGCGUGAGGAACCUGCCUCAAAGAGGGGGACAACAGUUGGAAACGACUGCUAAUACCGCAUAAGCCCACGGCUCGGCAUCGAGCAGAGGGAAAAGGAGCAAUCCGCUUUGAGAUGGCCUCGCGUCCGAUUAGCUAGUUGGUGAGGUAACGGCCCACCAAGGCGACGAUCGGUAGCCGGACUGAGAGGUUGAACGGCCACAUUGGGACUGAGACACGGCCCAGACUCCUACGGGAGGCAGCAGUGGGGAAUAUUGCACAAUGGGGGAAACCCUGAUGCAGCGACGCCGCGUGGAGGAAGAAGGUCUUCGGAUUGUAAACUCCUGUUGUUGAGGAAGAUAAUGACGGUACUCAACAAGGAAGUGACGGCUAACUACGUGCCAGCAGCCGCGGUAAAACGUAGGUCACAAGCGUUGUCCGGAAUUACUGGGUGUAAAGGGAGCGCAGGCGGGAGAACAAGUUGGAAGUGAAAUCCAUGGGCUCAACCCAUGAACUGCUUUCAAAACUGUUUUUCUUGAGUAGUGCAGAGGUAGGCGGAAUUCCCGGUGUAGCGGUGGAAUGCGUAGAUAUCAGGAGGAACACCAGUGGCGAAGGCGGCCUACUGGGCACCAACUGACGCUGAGGCUCGAAAGUGUGGGUAGCAAACAGGAUUAGAUACCCUGGUAGUCCACACCGUAAACGAUGAUUACUAGGUGUUGGAGGAUUGACCCCUUCAGUGCCGCAGUUAACACAAUAAGUAAUCCACCUGGGGAGUACGACCGCAAGGUUGAAACUCAAAGGAAUUGACGGGGGCCCGCACAAGCAGUGGAGUAUGUGGUUUAAUUCGACGCAACGCGAAGAACCUUACCAAGUCUUGACAUCCUGCGACGCACAUAGAAAUAUGUGUUUCCUUCGGGACGCAGAGACAGGUGGUGCAUGGUUGUCGUCAGCUCGUGUCGUGAGAUGUUGGGUUAAGUCCCGCAACGAGCGCAACCCUUAUGGUCAGUUACUACGCAAGAGGACUCUGGCCAGACUGCCGUUGACAAAACGGAGGAAGGUGGGGAUGACGUCAAAUCAUCAUGCCCUUUAUGGCUUGGGCUACACACGUACUACAAUGGCGUUAAACAAAGAGAAGCAAGACCGCGAGGUGGAGCAAAACUCAGAAACAACGUCCCAGUUCGGACUGCAGGCUGCAACUCGCCUGCACGAAGUCGGAAUUGCUAGUAAUCGUGGAUCAGCAUGCCACGGUGAAUACGUUCCCGGGCCUU